rnacentral:rRNA from 1 species
GACGAACGCUGGCGGCGUGCCUAACACAUGCAAGUCGAGCGGGGACAGUGCUUCGGUGCUGUUCUAGCGGCGGACGGGUGAGUAACGCGUGAGUAAUCUGUGCUUGACAGGGGGACAACACGUUGAAAGACGUGCUAAUACCGCGUAAGACCACAGCACCACAUGGUGCAGGGGUCAAAGGAGCAAUCCGGUCAAGGGUGAGCUCGCGUCUGAUUAGCUAGUUGGUGAGGUAACGGCCCACCAAGGCGACGAUCAGUAGCCGGCCUGAGAGGGCGAACGGCCACACUGGGACUGAGACACGGCCCAGACUCCUACGGGAGGCAGCAGUGGGGAAUAUUGGGCAAUGGGCGAAAGCCUGACCCAGCAACGCCGCGUGAGGGAAGAAGGUUUUCGGAUUGUAAACCUCUGUCAUUGGGGAAGAAGGAAGUGACGGUACCCAAUGAGGAAGCCCCGGCUAACUACGUGCCAGCCGCCGCCGUAAAAC